GAUGAACGCUGGCGGCGUGCCUAAUACAUGCAAGUCGAGCGAACGGACGAGAAGCUUGCUUCUCUGAUGUUAGCGGCGGACGGGUGAGUAACACGUGGAUAACCUACCUAUAAGACUGGGAUAACUUCGGGAAACCGGAGCUAAUACCGGAUAAUAUUUUGAACCGCAUGGUUCAAAAGUGAAAGACGGUCUUGCUGUCACUUAUAGAUGGAUCCGCACUGCAUUAGCUAGUUGGUAAGGUAACGGCUUACCAAGGCAACGAUGCAUAGCCGACCUGAGAGGGUGAUCGGCCACACGGGAACUGAGACAAGGUCCAGAACCCUACGGGAGGCAGCAGUAGGGAAUCUUCCGGAAUGGGCGAAAGCCUGACGGAGCAACGCCGCGUGAGUGAUGAAGGUCUUCGGAUCGUAAAACUCUGUUAUUAGGGAAGAACAUAUGUGUAAGUAACUGUGCACAUCUUGACGGUACCUAAUCAGAAAGCCACGGCUAACUACGUG
rnacentral:rRNA from 1 species